CAAUAGCGUAUAUUAAAGUUGUUGCAGUUAGAACGCUCGUAGUCGGAUUUCGGGGCGGGCCGACCGGUCUGCCGAUGGGUAUGCACUGGUCGGCGCGUCCUUCCUUCCGGAGACCGUCCCUACUCUUAACUGAGCGGGGGCGGGAGACGGGACUUUUACUUUGAAAAAAUCAGAGUGUUUCAAGCAGGCAGCUCGCUCUUGCAUGGAUUAGCAUGGGAUAAUGAAAUAGGACUUUGGUGCUAUUUUGUUGGUUUCGAACACCGAAGUAAUGAUGAGAAGGGACAGUCAGGGGCACUCGUAUUCCGCCGAGAGAGGUGAAAUUCUCAGACCAGCAGAAGACGAACCACUGCGAAAGCAUUUGCCAGGGAUGUUUUCACUG
rnacentral:rRNA from 1 species